rnacentral:rRNA from 2 species
UAGGGAAUCUUCGGCAAUGGACGAAAGUCUGACCGAGCAACGCCGCGUGAGUGAAGAAGGUUUUCGGAUAGUAAAACUCUGUUGUUAGAGAAGAACAAGGACGUUAGUAACUGAACGUCCCCUGACGGUAUCUAACCAGAAAGCCACGGCUAACUACGUGCCAGCAGCCGCGGUAAUACGUAGGUGGCAAGCGUUGUCCGGAUUUAUUGGGCGUAAAGCGAGCGCAGGCGGUUUCUUAAGUCUGAUGUGAAAGCCCCCGGCUCAACCGGGGAGGGUCAUUGGAAACUGGGAGACUUGAGUGCAGAAGAGGAGAGUGGAAUUCCAUGUGUAGCGGUGAAAUGCGUAGAUAUAUGGAGGAACACCAGUGGCGAAGGCGGCUCUCUGGUCUGUAACUGACGCUGAGGCUCGAAAGCGUGGGGAGCAAACAGG